rnacentral:rRNA from 1 species
UACGAAGGGUGCUAGCGUUGUUCGGAAUCACUGGGCGUAAAGCGUACGUAGGUGGUUAGGUAAGUCGAUUGUGAAAGCCCCGAGCUUAACUCGGGAAUUGCAACCGAAACUGCUUAGCUAGAGUAUGGUGGGGGAUAGUGGAAUUUCUAGUGUAGGGGUGAAAUCCGUAGAUAUUAGAAGGAAUACCGGUGGCGAAAGCGACUAUCUAUGCCAUUACUGACACUGAGGUACGAAAGCGUGGGGAGCAAACAGG